GAUGAAGAACGUAGUGAAAUGCGAUAAGUAAUGUGAAUUGCAGAAUUCAGUGAAUCAUCGAAUCUUUGAACGCACAUUGCGCCCCUUGGUAUUCCGAGGGGCAUGCCUGUUCGAGCGUCAUUAUAACCCCUCAAGCUCAGCUUGGUGUUGGGGCCUGCUGCACUGGCAGCCCUUAAAAUCAGUGGCGGCGCCAUCUGGCUCUAAGCGUAGUAAUUCUUCUCGCUAUGGAGUCCUGGUGGAUGCUUGCCAUCAACCCCCAAUUUUUCUAUGGUUGACCACGGAUCAGGUAGGGAUACCCGCUGAACUUAAGCAUAUCAAUAAGCGGAGGA
rnacentral:misc_RNA from 1 species